GUUAAGGAUGUUGUGGUGUUUAAAGGGGAGUUAAUUUGGGAUUCAAGAAGGCCAGAUUGGACACCAGGAAAACUUAUGGAUAAUUCCAAGAUUGCUGCAUUGGGCUGGAAACCGAAGAUUUCGCUUCAAGAUGGUCUUGUUGAUACUUAUAAAUGGUAUUUGGAGAAUUAUGGCAACCAACAAUUCAGGUGAUUGUGUUAUUUUUGCAAGAUAUGAGACUGUUAUUCUUGUUUGUUGAAUGGGUUUAAUAAGCUUAUGGAGAGCUUAGUUGAAUUCUUGAUUAUCUGUUGUACUGAUUUGAGUACUAUGUUUAUGUUAAUUAUAUUUCCAAAGAUCCAAUUUUUGUUCAAUUGUGUCCAAUAUUGCAAUAGUUCAUUGUGAAAUAGUCUGUAGUGAAAAUCACUCACGGUUAGUUUUAAGCAUCAAAAUAUGAAAAUCAUAAUCAAAAUCUCCAAAAACAAUCUUGACAAGGUUGUUUUGUGGGGGACUGGUUCACCAUUAAGGGAAUCUUUACAUGUUGAUGAUUUAACCGAUGCGGUUAUAUUUCUGUUGGAAAAUUAUAGUGAUUUGGAACAUGUUAAUGUGGGAAGUGGAAUUGAAGUUACUAUUAAGGAAUUAGCUGAAUUGGUUAAGGAAGUUGUGGGGUUUAAAGGGGAGUUAAUUGGGAUUCGACAAAGCCAGAUGGGACACCAAGAAAGCUUAUGGAUAACUCAAAGAUUGCUGGAUUGGGUUGUAAACCGAAGAUUUCGCUUCAAGAUGGUCUUGGGUGUUGUUAUAUUUGCAAGAUACGAGAUUGCUAUUCUUGUUUGUUGAAUGAGUUUAAUAAGCUUAUAGAGAGCUUAGUUGAAUUCUUGAUUAUCUGUUGUACCGAUUUGAGUACUAUGCUUAUGUUAAUUACUUUUCCAAAGAUCCAACUUUUAUCCGAUUUGCUGAUCUAAAGAAAUCGUGUUCAAUAUUGGAAUAGUUCAUUGUGAAAUGUCUAAAAGCAUGGAUCAGUUUAUAUUGA